UACAGAGGGCGCGAGCGUUGUCCGGAAUCACUGGGCGUAAAGGGCGCGUAGGUGGCCACUAUAAGGCCGCGGUGAAAGUUCGGGGCUCAACCCUGAAUCUGCCGCGGCGACUGUAGGGCUAGGGCACCGUAGAGGCAGAUGGAAUUCCGGGUGUAGCGGUGGAAUGCGUAGAGAUCCGGAAGAACACCGGUGGCGAAGGCGGCGGAUCUGGGUAGAUACUGACGCUGAGGUGCGAAAGCGUGGGGAGCAAACAGG
rnacentral:rRNA from 1 species